UAAUACCGGAUAAGCCCUUACGGGGAAAGAUUUAUCGCCGAAAGAUCGGCCCGCGUCUGAUUAGCUAGUUGGUGAGGUAAUGGCUCACCAAGGCGACGAUCAGUAGCUGGUCUGAGAGGAUGAUCAGCCACAUUGGGACUGAGACACGGCCCAAACUCCUACGGGAGGCAGCAGUGGGGAAUAUUGGACAAUGGGCGCAAGCCUGAUCCAGCCAUGCCGCGUGAGUGAUGAAGGCCCUAGGGUUGUAAAGCUCUUUUGUGCGGGAAGAUAAUGACGGUACCGCAAGAAUAAGCCCCGGCUAACUUCGUGCCAGCAGCCGCGGUAAUACGAAGGGGGCUAGCGUUGCUCGGAAUCACUGGGCGUAAAGGGUGCGUAGGCGGGUCUUUAAGUCAGGGGUGAAAUCCUGGAGCUCAACUCCAGAACUGCCUUUGAUACUGAAGAUCUU
rnacentral:rRNA from 1 species